UUCUAUGUGGGGGUUAGGUGUGUUUCCAUGGGCUUGCGUCAAAGGGAAGAUCUCAUACAACCCAUGAAGUAUGACGUCAAGUUGUGAUCGUCAUCAAGAUUGCGAUGUGCAAGUUCAAGUCGAUCAGCACGAAGAUAUCAUGCUUAAAGCUUGCCGUCCAUUGUGGAGGCAAUGGACUUGUGAAGAUAUGCUGAAGAGUGGCUCACCCAUAGUGAGUAUGGGGGAGCAAUUAACUAGUCUUCAUCAAGCCAACGCAAUCAAGAAAGGUGGUCCAUCUUGAGGAAGCCAAGAUCAUCAUCAUCUAGCUCAAGAGGACGAAGUGCAAGGUAUAGGUU
rnacentral:lncRNA from 1 species